rnacentral:lncRNA from 1 species
GUAGAGUGGGAAGUCGGUGAAAGAAAAUCUCUAAAAAUUUUAUGGCUAAUACUCAACCAUUAAUUGGGUCGAAUUGAUAAUCCAAUGAAGUACCUCUUUAAUGAUCUAGCCGGAUAUCAACUAUAGUUAGGAAUGUCUAGGAUAACUUUCAAUUCAAGGAUAAUUUGGUGUACAAUGCUAAUGUAUCUAUUUUACUCGAGGACGAGUAAAGUUUAAAUUGGGGGGUGUGAUGAAUACUUAAUUUAGGAUGCUAGAGGCACUAAAUAUUAUAAUCAUUAAUGUUAUUUUAUUAAGAAUUUAAUGCUAUCUAGUCUAUUUUGCAGGUA